rnacentral:lncRNA from 1 species
GGGUGCUGCUGGCCCUUCUGUGGCCUCCAGUCACCUGGCUAUGACUUUUGAUGCUGUUAUUGAUGUGUUUCCUUGGCUUCAGCAGCUAUUUUUGCUAUAAUAAUCCUGCUGCCCUUCAGACUCAGGAUAAACGGAACAGGCAGGUGAACACCAUGAAAUUCAUGCUGCUAUAUGCCUGGUAUUCUUGGCCCAAUGUAGUUUUGUGUUUCUUUGGUGGCUUUUUAAAAGACCGAGUAUUUGGAAUAUGAUGGGGCACAAUUACUUUUAGCUGUUUUAUUUGCACUGGACAGGUUGUUUUGUUCUGGGUGGAAUAUUUAAUGUUUUUUGGCUGAUGGAAUUUGAAAGACUUGUGUUUGGAUUGGUGGGGAGUGCUCAGCAGUUGCCCAGGACAUAUGCUGUCAGCUGGUUUAAAGACAAAGAAUUAAACCUGGUGUCUGGACUCCAACAAUUUAGCAUGGCUAGAAUUGGAAGUACGGUAAACAUGAACUUCGUGAGUUGGCUGUAUUCUAAGAUUGAAGCUUCGUGGGGUUCUGCUGGUCACACAACCCCUGGGGUCACACUUAAGAUUGGGGGUAUAAAAUGUAUUCUUUCACUAAUCUGUGCCUUCCUUGGCUCUUGCUUACUUAGAUGCGAGAGCAGAGAGAAUCCUUCAUAAAGAACAACAACAACAAAAAAAGGGGGGGGAAGUUUUUACAUUAACUGAUGUAAAGGAUUUCUCCUUACCCCUGUGGCUCAUAUUUAUCAUCUGUGUCUGCUAUUGUGUUGCCAUGUUCCCUUUUAUUGGACUUGGGAAAGUUUUCUUUACAGACAAAUUUGGAUUUUCUUUCCAGGCAGCAAGUGCAAUGAACAGUGUUGUAUAUGUCGUUAUCAGCUCCCACACCCCAGUAUUUGGGCUCCCAGUGGAUGACACGGGGAAGAACAGCAUCUGGGUUCUGCGUGUGGUUGCAGCCACUCUUGUGUCCCACAUGAUGCUGGCCUUUAUGAUGUGGAGCCCUUGGGUUGCUGUGUCUUCUGGGAAUCUCCUAUUCAUCGCUUGCCUGUGCAUUUUGGCCAACAGUGGCAUCUGUAGUUCCUGAACAUCAACUGGGAACUGCAUAUGGCUUCACGCACUCCAUUCAGAAUCUUGGGGUGGCCAUCAUUUCCAUCACUGCUGGGAUGGAUGAUACUGGACACUGGGGGAUAUUUGUUUUUAGAAGUUUUCUUCAUUGCCUGUGAUUCUAUGUGACUUUUAUCUGUGGUCUUACUCUAUUUUGUGAAUCAUGCCCAGGGUGAGAACCUAAAUUAUUCCACAAGACAAAGGGAAGAAAUAAAAUUUUCCCAUACUUAA